GUUCCCAUGUCCGUUUAGCUCUGUUAAAAUGUUGCCAGGACCAGCAAGGGGAGUGGGCCCGAUUCUUUCCUUGGGCUGAAUACGCCCAGAAUUCAUUGUGACACUCCUCCACCGGGCUGACUCCCUUCCCGUGUGUUCUGGGUUAUCAGCCAGCCCUUGAUCCGUGGACUCCGAGACAGACCAAAGCUCCUGCGGUGGACGAGUGGUUCAGGCACGGUAUGGAACGAUGCCUCCGUGAAACUCCAGCGUGCGGUCAGAAAGAGCAGCCGGAUCGCCACCUUAGUGAGGCUCCUGUGUUCCAUCCUGGUGACCGCGUCUGGUUCUCUACCAGGAACCUCCCGCUCAGCCUGCCCUGCCGGUGGUUCCUGGUCCUUUGCUGAUGCCGUCCCCCACGACACCCCUCCACCUCCCUUGGACAUCGAGGGGAGCCCCGCCUAUGCCGUCAGAUCACUCCUGGACUCCCGACGUCGUGGGGGUCGGCUCCAAAACCUGGUGGACUGGGAGGGGUACGGUCUAGAGGAGAGUUGCUGAGUUCCGGUGGACGACAUUCUAGAUCCCAACACCAUCCGAGAAUUUCACCUUCGCCGUCUGGACCAGCCCGCUCUUCACCCUCGGGGCCGUCCUCCUGGCCGGCAUCAUCCUGCGACUGGAGCCACGUGUCUGGGGGAGGGGGGGUGUACUGUCACGUCAACUCCUGCUCCGGCGCUUGACGUCGCAGGUCUACUAACCACCGGUCCAUCAUUAUGCACACCUGCGCCCUAUCAUGAGACACACCUGAACUCCAUCACUACCCUGAUUAUUCCCCCUUUAUCUAGCACUCCCUAGCAUCACUCUUCAGGCAGUAUUGAUUCAGUUUUUAUGUCCUGGCGCUUCGCUUGUUUUGUGACUCUCCAUCUUCGUUAUUAUUAAACUCGCCAUCUGCACCUGC